CAUGUGCAGUGUGGAAGUUUGAACAACUGCCAUUUUCAACCGAAACUUGCAUCAUGCUCAGAAGCCUGGAUAAAAUCCAUUGCCAUUUGAGGAUUAUUUGAAUAUCAGCAUUGAUGUUCGACGGGAAUGCGUCCUAAAAACUAUCUGUGUCUACUUAAAUAAAAAGCCAGAUGACCUGUUCAAGGAAUUCUUGGAUAUGGAUCUUAGUGCAAGAAGAGAAACGGAGCAGCUGACUUUAGGAGUCUGUGUUGUCAGACAUGAAGGAGCAGACUCUGCAGAUACACCUGAGGACAUUGGUGUCAUCAUAGAAGGAUACACUGUGCUGAAAGCUCUUAGUGAUGUGGCAAAGGGGUGUGCCCUCCUGCUUGGACUAAUCUACAGUCUAAAUCUGAGGUACCCAAAGCACCUGAAAUACAUAUUUGAAUUUCUUCAGAAGGUGCUGAUGGAGUUGGAUGGGAACAACCUAUCCAUGAAUGUGCAAGUUCUGAAAAACAAACUGCUUGAGUGAAACAGCCUGCACUGAACUAUAGAGGACACUGAACUGGUUACAAGAUUCUCAAACCCAUCUCCUUGCACUUUAUAAACUGUUCAGUUUGAAUUCCGCAAGAACUUCUGCAAGGCCUCAUACUUUUUGGCAUGCUUUGUUCAUGUUGAACUUUUACCACCAUCCAGCUACAUUGAACAAGACUGCUCCUAAGUUUGGACUUCAUUUUAAGUUUUGGGGAAAAAAAAGGUUUUUUAAAUAUGGACAAAAAUGCCACUAAAGUCAUUUCUACUUGUUGUUUAUAGGACUGUAUUGUGAGUUUUCCAUUGUACCCGAAGCAAGUUUAAAUUAAGUCAUGUUAAUGUUAAAAAUGUUGGAAUCACAACACUUUCCAGUUUUAAUAACUUGAUUUUAACAUUCUGCAUUAUGUCUUCCUGUACUUAAUAUGCACUUGCAUAUAUGUGAAGAUAUUUUUGUUUAGGAAAAAGGCAUUGAUCUAGAAUUUUGAACAGCUCAAAGUUUGCUUCAGCACA